GAUGAACGCUGGCGGCGUGCCUAAUACAUGCAAGUCGAGCGAACGGACGAGAAGCUUGCUUCUCUGAUGUUAGCGGCGGACGGGUGAGUAACACGUGGAUAACCUACCUAUAAGACUGGGAUAACUUCGGGAAACCGGAGCUAAUACCGGAUAAUAUUUUGAACCGCAUGGUUCAAAAGUGAAAGACGGUCUUGCUGUCACUUAUAGAUGGAUCCGCGCUGCAUUAGCUAGUUGGUAAGGUAACGGCUUACCAGGGCAACGAUGCAUAGCCGACCUGAGAGGGUGAUCGGCCACACUGGAACUGAGACACGGUCCAGACUCCUACGGGAGGCAGCAGUAGGGAAUCUUCCGCAAUGGGCGAAAGCCUGACGGAGCAACGCCGCGUGAGUGAUGAAGGUCUUCGGAUCGUAAAACUCUGUUAUUAGGGAAGAACAUAUGUGUAAGUAACUGUGCACAUCUUGACGGUACCUAAUCAGAAAGCCACGGCUAACUACGU
rnacentral:rRNA from 1 species